rnacentral:misc_RNA from 1 species
GAUGAAGAACGCAGCGAAAUGCGAUACGUAAUGUGAAUUGCAGAAUUCAGUGAAUCAUCGAGUCUUUGAACGCACAUUGCGCCCCUGGUAUUCCGGGGGGCAUGCCUGUCCGAGCGUCAUUGCUGCCCUCAAGCCCGGCUUGUGUGUUGGGUCUCGUCCCCCUUCCCGGGGGGACGGGCCCGAAAGGCAGCGGCGGCACCGUGUCCGGUCCUCGAGCGUAUGGGGCUUUGUCACCCGCUCUGUAGGCCCGGCCGGCGCUUGCCGAUCAACCAAAACUUUUUUCCAGGUUGACCUCGGAUCAGGUAGGGAUACCCGCUGAACUUAAGCAUAUCAAUAAGCGGAGGA